GGAAAGAGAAGGCGGUAAAGGAAAUAGUUGAAGAAAUAGACGAAGAAAAGAAGUUGAUUAAAAAAAAGAUAAUUGAAGGAGAUAUAUUGGAGGAUUACAAAUCAUUUUACAUCACUACUCAUGUUGAGACAAAAGGUGAAAACAAUUUAGUUACUUGGAUUAUUGAAUAUGAAAAGAAGAAUGCAAAUGUGCCAGAUCCAUACACAUAUAUGGGAUUUGCUCUCAACAUGACUAAAGAUAUUGAGACUCACCACAUCAAGUGACACAUAAAUAUAUGUACUUGGAAUAAUGUGUGGUGUUAUUAAUGAAUGUGCUUUGAAAUAUCUACUAUAUAUAUGUAACAAAAAUAAAUGGAGUGGAUAUGUAAUUUCUAUUUUGUAAAAUUCUGCUUAUAUAUAAUAUAAAUAAAAGCUACUAUUUGGAUUGCGUAAGAGUUUCCCUUUUCUUAUUCUUUUCUUUUUCUCUAUGCUGGAAAUUAGCCAAUGUAUGUGUUUUCCUUUCAACUGUACCAUUUUUUUUAUAAAGGGGAUUGAAGAAGAAAAAUAGUAUAAAAAUAAAAAAUAAAAAAUAUAUAUCCUAUCGUACUUUCUUCUAUAAAAAAGAAGGAAAAACUAACUAUAGCUAUAGAAAUUAAACAUCUAUCAUCUCUACUAAAUAUAAUUAUAUUUUAAAAUAAUUACAUAAUUAAAAUAUCUUUAAGAGAUAGAUUUAGGUAUCUUAGGGUUUAUAGUUCAAGGAGUGGGGACAUCGACGAUGCUAUCACACAUUGUAUUGGUGUGGUGUGGAUGAAGUGGAGACUUGCCUCUGAAGUCUUGUGUGAUAAGAAGGUACCGCUAAAACUCAAAGGUAAGUUCUAUAAAGUUUCUUUUUAAUCCGGUCAAAUAAGGAUUUUUUUUGGUGAUUCGAACGACAUUGUUUUAUGGGACUGAAUGUUGGCCACUCAAGAAUUCUCAUCUCCAUAAGAUGCAUAUUGCAGAGAUGAGGAUGUUGAGGUGGAUGUGUGGUCUUACUAGGAUCAAUCUGUGAUGGACAAGAUGAGGAAAGCGAGACUGAGAUGGUUUGGAGAUGUAAAUAUGAGAUGAUUAGAUGCAGUGGAGCUAGAAUUUCGCCUGGGGUGUCAAAAUAUAAAGAAAUAAAAUCGUAUAGAGGUCAAGGAGUGUCAAUAUAUAUAUAUAUAUAUAUAUAUAUACAUAAAAAAAAAUUCAUUCUAGCUACACAAUGUAAUUUUCCGACGAAGGGGUGUCGAACGACACCCCUUAACUACAUGUGGCUCCGCCACUGAUUAGACGCACCCGUGAGGAGGUGCGAGAGGUUGGUUAUUGAGGGUACAAGGAGAGGCAGAGGUUGACCGAAGUAGUACUGGGAAGAGGUGCUAGGACAAAGAAUUGACGCAACUUUAGGUUACCAAUGAUAUGACCCUAGACAAGAGGGUGCGGAGGACACACAUUAGUAUCAAACAUUAAUAGUUAUAGGGAACUACAAAAUUUUGUUAAAUAGGAUCAAUAAUAAAUUUUAUUAUUUAGCUGCAGAAAUUGUCCAUAGCCAAUUUUAGUUUUUUUUAGUAGUGAUAGGGAACUACAAAAUUAGCUAAUGUAAAAGCCACCUCAAAGAUUUGAAGUUUUCAAAUAACAUAAACGAUGUGUGUAUUGUACCACUAGAAACACAAGAAUAUUAUAUUAGUGAACUGAUGACAGAACAACUACAUAAUCAAUCACAUAAAUAGUCCUUCCAAAACACAAGAACAUUAUAUUAGGCAAACAUACAUGAUCACACUACAUAAUGAAAUGUUACAUUUUAACUAUGUUACUUCAAUAAGGGAAAGAUAAAUUUCAUAUGCCAGGCGCUCAAGGCUUUUUAGGCACUUGUGGGAUUUAUGGUUUUGGCAAAGUUGGCAAUUCAGGCUUAUAAUUAGGAAUGGAAGGAAUCUCGAGUUUUGGCAACGUUGGAAGUUCAGGCUUUGUGAUUUCUGGAAAUUUGGGCUUUGGCAGAUUUGGCAGCUCGGGUUUUUGAAUUUCAAGGAAUUCAGGCUUAGGCAAAGUUGGGAUUUCAGGAAGGCAUAAUACAUAAAUGUGCCCUUUAACUUGGCCUCAUUUCACAUUUAUGCCCUUCAACUUUGGGAAUACAUAAGUAGACACUUAAACUUGUAUAAACUUGAACAAGUAGACACAUGAGUCCUAUGUGGAACAAUACACGUAGGACAAAAAAUGACAUGUAGGAUGCCAUGUAGGAUAUGUGUGUCUAUUUGUUCAACUUUAUACAAGUUUAAGUGUCUACUUGUGCACAAUCAAAGUUGAAGGACAUAAAUGUGAUUUGAAGCCAAGUUAAAGGGCAUAUUUAUGUAAGUAUGUAGGGGUGUACAAAACCGAACCAAACCGCAAACCGAGUCAACCCGGAAAAAAAACCCGACUAGUGGUUUGGUAUUGGGAAAAAAAAUCCGACUAUAUUUGGAUUGGUUUGGUUUUAACUAAAAAAACAACCCGAGACCAAACCAACCCGACAUUAUAUAUGUAAUUUUAAAAUUUUAUUUUAUACAUAAAAAUAUUUACUUUGAUAUAAUUUUNNNNNNNNNNNNNNNNNNNNNNNNNNNNNNNNNNNNNNNNNNNNNNNNNNNNNNNNNNNNNNNNNNNNNNNNNNNNNNNNNNNNNNNNNNNNNNNNNNNNNNNNNNNNNNNNNNNNNNNNNNNNNNNNNNNNNNNNNNNNNNNNNNNNNNNNNNNNNNNNNNNNNNNNNNNNNNNNNNNNNNNNNNNNNNNNNNNNNNNNNNNNNNNNNNNNNNNNNNNNNUUUGUGUUAUUUUAAAAAAAAACACCUUAGAUAAUUGUAUUUUGGUUAGACUAAAGAAAUAUUUGGAGCACAAGUUAAUUAUAUGUUUUUAUGCAAAUUUUACCGAAAAAAUCCAAAAAUCUGAAAAAAUACGAGGUUUAUUAGUUUGGUUUGAUAUAUAAAUUUUAAAAUUCGACACAAUGAUUUGGUUUGGUUUGGUAUUUGAAAAACCCGAACCAACCCGAGGUUGAAAAAUCCGAAAAAAUCCGAAUUUUAUUAGUUUGGUUGGUUUAUAAAAUUUUAAAAAUUUUUUACAAAAUUGGUUUGAUUUGAUAUUUGAAAAACCCGAACCAACCCGAUCAUGUACACCCCUAGUAUUAUGCCUUUCAGGAAGAUGUGGCAAUUCAGGCUUAGGAAGCUCGGGCAGAAUUAUUUAAAGAAGAUGUCGUGCUUCUGCUUGAAUUACAUAGUUGCUUGCUAAUGACAAAGUGAUGAGUAAUAACAAGAAAAAAGAUGGAUUGUGGUGGUCAGUGCUGAAAAAGUAAAAAAUACUUUAAUUCAUAUGACUUAUACUUCAGUUUGAACACGCUAUUAUAUAGAUGUAAUUAGUUGUGCAAAAAUGAAAAGAGGAAUAAAACUAAUUUGGUUGGUGGUUGGUUAAGAAAAAUGUCAGUUAGUUCAUCUUCUCAACAAUAAUAGUCCUAAUUUAAUCUGCCAAUUUUUUGGCAUGCACAAGGUCCCCUCUCCAAUUCUAAAGCAACAUGUCUAUAAUUAAUCUCGACAUAAAAUUUGCAAAAGAGAUAUAGAGUUUGGUUGGGGUGGGGGUGGGGGUAGGCAUCAUUUCUUUUAUAAACAAGUGGUUAUGCGUAGGGUGCUAAAAUUGAUAAUAAACAAAUAAUGUGUUUGGUAAAAUAAUGUUGAUAAGCUUUUUUUUCUAAAAUAAUGACUGAAUUAAUGUCGUUAAAUUUAUUUUAAAAAAUAAUUUAAAAGUAUUUACACAUAAAAAGAACAAAUGAAGGAAAUAAAAUAAAGGGAUAAUUCAAAGUUAUAUUCUAGGAAGAACAUUUUAGGGAGUACAAAAAAAACAGAAAAGGUUAAAUUGUAAAGUGAUUGGUCAAAUUAAAAGUGAUUAUAAGCUGUAAAACCAUAAAUUUAAAAUGACCAACUUAUGGUUGAUUUCGGAUUUUAAGCACUUGAGAAUUAUAAGUGGUUGCCAACUAUAUGAUAAGCUUUAAAAAUAUGCUUAUGAACUAGUCUGAACCACUUAGAAAUUUAACUUAAUACCUUCUUAAUAUAAAAGUAGAUUAUUGGGUACUACCUAUAACCAAGAGUCUUUUUCUGUAAUAAUUGUGUGUAGUUAGUUACAUGCACACACCUAAUUAUGUAUAGGCAAAAAAAUAAAUACCAAAUUUACAGUCUAGAGUCUAACACAUAUUGACACUGUGUAACUAUAUAAAGGCAGAGCUACUCAUCAUGUAAUGAUGAACCACACAAUUGUUAUUAUAAACUUAAAGAAAAAUGAGUCUUGAAGGUAAAUUGGUUUCUGAGAUAAACAUCAAGUGUGAUGGAGAUGUGUUCCAUCAAAUAAUUAUGUACAAACCACACCAUAUGUGCAACAUAUGCCCUGAUAAGAUACAAAAAGUGGAUAUUCAUGAAGGUGAAUUGGGCACUAUUGACUCUGUUAGGUUAUGGAAAUUCACCCAUGGUAAAUCCGUAUUAUAUUUGGUUUCAAUAUUUAUUGUUGGCUCCACUUAUAUAGAUUUUCGUCGCAUUACAUAGCUCUUAAAAAAAAUUUAUAUCUAACUCAAACUCAUAAAUAACACAUUAUAUAGCUCAAACUAAUCAAUUCAUGAAUUGGAUCCAACACUUCUAUUGAUUCAGACCGUUUUUAAUUGGUCCAAAUUCAAUCCAACUCGCUCAAUCAUUUAUAAACGAAAUUAGUUGUAUGAAUUUUUUACUAUAUAUAUUUGUUUGCAGAUGGGAAAGAGAUGGUGGCAAAGGAAGUAAUUGAAGAAAUAGAUGAUGAAAAGAAGUUGGUUAAAAAAAAGAUGAUUGAAGGAGAUAUGUUAGAGUAUUACAAAUCAUUUUACCUCACUAUUCAUGUUGAGACAAAGGGUGAAAACAACUUAGUUACUUGGAUCUUGGAAUAUGAAAAGAAGAAUGCAAAUGUGCCAGAUCCACAUACUUUCAUGGAAUUGUGUAUCAAUAUCACUAAAGAUAUUGAGAGUUACCACAUCAAGUGACACAUAAAUAUAUGUACUUGAAAUAAUAUUAUGUGGUGUGGUUAAUGUGUGUGCUUUGAAAUGUCUACUAUAUAUAUGUAGGGAAAAUAAAAAGAGUGGAUGUGUAAUUUCUAAUUUGGUUCAGACCUGUUGUUUGGGUGAAAGCCUGAGUAGAUGGAUAUUGAUAAAUAAAAAUAAAAGCUCCUUCUAAUUUUGGAUCAGCGCGAGCCAAACAUGGUUGAUUUCGGAUUAUAAGCACUUUUAGUAUUUGUCAACUAUAUGAUAAGUUUAAAAAAAUAUGCUUAUGAACUAGUUUGAACCACUUAGAAACUUAACCUAAUACCUUCUUAAUAUAAAAGUAGCUUAUUGGGUACUAGAUAUAACCAAGAGUCUCUUUCUGUAAUAAUUGUGUGUAAUUACAUGCACACACCUAAUUAUGUAUAGGCAAAGAAAAUAUGAAAUUUAUAGUCUAGAGUCUAGACAUAUUGACAUUGCUUAACUAUAAGAGGGUAGAGAUACCCACUUAUAAUUAAUUAAUGAAUGAGUUUAUAUAGUCAAAGCAUUAGAUGAUAGCUCACACAAUAGGCAAUCCAUCUUCUAUGGCUAUUGCUUCAGCACAAAAAAUAGUAGUGAUAGGGAUAUAUAUUGUCACGACCUAGAUCGUCGUGAUUGACACCCACACUAACAUUUCGGUGGGAGAACCAUUACUACAACCCAACUAAGCAACUUAACGAAAACUAGAACAUUUAAUGAUACGAAAGCUGGUUUAAAUGACUACUAAAAUAUGGAGUUCCCAUAAACUCCGAAAGUUUAACAAAUCAACUAGCAUAGCUAUUGCGGAAAUUCAAUCCCUAGAACCUGAAAGUCAUUGUACCAAAACUCUAUAAACCAACAAAUCUAAGGAAAAGGGGUGCAACCCCUAAACUAACAUAAGCAAAGUCUAACUAAACAGUCUAUGUCCGAAAAGAGUGGACUAAACAAGGAAGGAUCCAUGACAGCCUGAAAGAACUGGCUCACCCUUGAAUCCGGUCUUCAAUCAAUGAUCCCCUAGCUGAGGUUUAUCAGUAGCCGCCUAAAGAUGCCCUGUACUCAACAAAGAACGAGCAAGUGCAGUAUCAGUACAAAACCACAGUGUACUGGUAGGAUCACGCAACCAUCCCAGUAAGCGAAACAAAGGCAAGCAAUUACAACACAGUAAACACAUAUACAGAAUACAUAGAUCCAUUAUCAUUUCAGGAGUAACAUAUAGUUCCCAAUAUCAACGACAAGUAGACAUGAAUGUAAUCAUCACAGUGGUCCUCUCAUGGAGCCCACACCCAAACUGUUAGUCUGUCGGAACGUGACACCCGAUCCAAUAUAUGUGUCGAAAUGUGAUACCCGAUCCAAUAUAUGUAUUAAAACGUUACACCCGAUCCAAUCUAUGUGUCGGAACUUGACACUCAAACCAGUCAGCACAACCACAAUCACAAUCACACCCAUAAUGAACAACGAUCAUAGUCAUACAAUCAAGUAUUGGUUUCAUUGGCAUGUAAUUGUUCAUAUAUACUCAUUUGCAUUAUAUAUGAUUCACAUUCCCUUAUUCACAAACACACAUGCAUACAAUGAAGCAAUUAACCGGCAUACAUCACACAAAUAGGAAAUCAAACCAUCACUUACCUCGAAACCAAGUUUGAAUCCUCCUAAGACAUUUGAGCCUUCCCUUUACGGAUUCUUUCAGCUUAUUCUUGGUCUAACAUCAGUUAAGUAAUGCAAGAAUCAAUAAACAAGAUGUAAUUUACCCGGAUAAUAAUCAAACUAUCAGUCCUAGGCCAAACCCAAGAUCCCAAUACUCAAUUAGGAAUUUUUCCACCAUCAACUUCAGGCCAAAACCCUCCCCCAAUGAUAAUUACUCAAGUUUCUAAGUUCUAAGAAUAGAAUUACGGAUUAGGGGAGUAAUUAUCUUACCUUUAGCGCUAGAAAUCAUGGAAAACUGUCAAGAACUGCUCUGGUUCGCCUCUUAGCUCUCAAGAAUGAAGUUUUACAGAAAAUAAUGAUUUUGGGGUUUUUCGACUUAAAUCGCGACUGUCCCACCACAGCGGGACCCAACCCGCCACAGUGUCCCUACCCUAGCGGAACUAACCCCUUUUUGGCGGCUUGCAUGGAGACAGAAGCUCGGAAUUUGAGUUCCAAGCUCCCAUUUCACAACACACCUUCAAACCUGGAUGUUUUAAAAAACCCUUCUAUGCCAAGAUCAGUUUUGAGAGUUCUACUCACCUGAAUUUGAUUCCGUAAAGCUGUACAGGCUCCUUAACUUCUUGGCUAUACACUCAUGUGAUCAAAUUCAUAAUCAAACCCCCCGUCUAUUACCAGAUUUCUCUAGACCUCACCUGACUCAAAUUUCAUCCAAGUCUUUCCUAGGAUAGAAAUUUCCAAGUUUCUACUUAAAAGUUUUAUAGCCCAAAUUAUUUCCUCAUUGGCUUUUCCAUAACGACGAGAACAUGUCGUUACAAUAGAUACCAAUUUACCCAUCACUCGUACCUGAGUGAUUAACUAGGAGAACUGACUAAGGCAAAAGUAGAGUAGUAUCUGAAUCGUCGAAUUGUUGGGGAUACUUGUCUCCAUGUCCUCCUUGGUUUCCUAGUAGCUUCCCCAACUGGACGAUACUCCCAUUGAACUUCCACGGACUUUAUCUCAUUGGUCCUCAUGAUACUUCUUCAACAUGUACACAUAGAACACUGGAUGGAUUCCUGAUACGCUACGCGGUAAAGCCAGCCUAUAAGUCACUGUCCCUACAUAGUCAAGAAUCUCAAAUGGCCCGAUGUAUUGAGGACUAAGCUUUCCCUUCUUACCGAAUCUCAUCACCCCAUUUAUGGGUGACACUUUCUAGAUGGACUUGCUCACCAUCAUGAGAUGUCAUGUCCCUUACCUUAUGGUUUGCAUACUUUUUCUAUCGACUCUGGACUGCUAGAAGCUUAGCUUGGAUACUUCUCACCUUAUCUUGAGUAUUUUUCACCAAAUCAACCCCUAAGGGUUUCACAUCUCCAUCCUCAAACCAACCAAUUGAAUACCUACACACCCUCUCAUACAAUGCCUCAAUGAAGUCAUCUCAAUACUCGAGUGAUAAAUAUGGUUGUAUGUAAGCUUAACUAACAACAAAAGCAUUUCCCAAUAACCACCAAAGUUGAUCGUACACACGUGUGCAACAUGUUAUCAAGGGCCUUGACACAAUCAUUGGGAUGAAUCAUUUCUCACAUAAGCAUGAUAAAAUUCCAAAUCAAUACUCACUACAAUUAGAAGUGAACCUGAACCAACCAACACACACUCAUAAUACCCAAACAAUCGUAGUUCUUAACCACAUCUCCAUCCCACAACAUAAAUUUCCAUGAGCUUAAGUUAUAAAAAUUUGAUCUUUAGACAUCUGAUACCAACUUUAGCCUUUGCAAUCAAAUAAAAAUAUUUUUGCCCUCGCCUCUCUCUAAAGGUUGUACUACAUCCCACAUUUUUAUGACUCUAGCUCUUUUAAAUUCUAUUUGAGUGGUGUCCCACCAUCUCUUAAAACUUUCCAUACAACCACGUUACUCACCAAAUAUUAGAAAACCAUAACCUUAUAUAUUCGCAAGUCGUAAUUACUAUACAAAAUUCACUUAACCAACAAUCUUAUUAUAUAGUUGCAUCCCAUCACAAUCCAUGAUGAACUCUUAUUACCAUUAUGCUCAGUUAGCCCUGACUAUUACUACGAAGUCAACCUUUUCAUCGACAUGACACCUCAAACUCAAGAAUACUCAUCAAAUUCAAAGGACUAACCCAAUUUUAUACGCACUUUCUUAGUAAAUCUUCAAUUUCCUUCACCCAAGUAUACUCAAUGGGACUUUCUUUAUCCAUAAGUUUGUCAUUCUGGUAUCAAUCCACUCUUUUAUGGCUUAAGAUAAAAUCACUAGUCCUCAUACUACCAUUCUUCUUCUUAACAAAUAAAAGAGGAGCACCCCAUAGGGAAGCACUAGAACAGAUGAAACCUUUAUCACGAAGCUCCUAGAUUUGAGCUUUAAGCUCUCUCAAUUCUACCGGAGCCAUGCGAUAAGGAGGAAUGGAGAUGGGGGUGAGUGUCAGGUUCCAAGUCAAUACAAAAAUCUAUAUCUCCAUCCGGAGGUAUACCAGAUAAAUCGGUAGGAAACACUUCCUUGAAUUCAGAUACUACAGGAAUAAACUCAAUAGAGGGAGGCUCAACAUCAAUCUCCCUAAUAUGAGCCAAAUAUGCCAAACACCCCUGCCUCACCAUUUUCCUAACCCACAUGAAAGAUAUGACCUUAGAUGGCUUAGGCGUGUACACACCUUCCUACUCCAACUUUUCCCUACCUAGGAUCUCUAGAGUUACAGACUUAGCAUUACAAUUAAGCACAAUAUAAUAGGGGGACAACCAAUUUAUGCCUAAGAUUAUAUCGAAGUCAGUCAUAUCCAAAAUAACCAAAUCAGCCCAAGUUUGAAAACCCAUAAACAGAACAAGACAAGCACAAUAUACCUGGGUGACUAUGACUGACUCUCCAACUGGGGUAGAAACUUGGAUGGGGGCACCAAGCACAUCAUAAACCGUAUCAAAUCCCAAGGGAAACUGAACUGACACAUAUGAAUAAGUAGAACCCGGAUCAAGCAAAAUAGUAUCCUUUCACUCACAGACAAGAAUAACACAUGUGAUCACUGCAGCAGACACAUCAGCUCCGAUCUUGCCCGAAAAGGCAUAAAAUUGAGCCAUGUCAUCUUGACGGGCAACCUCCUUGCCUGAAGACACUGAUCCCUUACCUGCAUUACCAUUUCUUUGGCCUUCACUACCUCGCUGAUUUCCUCCUCAUAUGCCCAGGUUCUCUACAAUUGUAACACACAUAAUAACUUAACCAAGUAAGCAACGCUGCUAUUGUAGUAGUUGUAUCAUAACCCUCUUUGAUAUACACUCAAUCUAGGAAAUCGUAGUAAAAAUUCAAACCUCAACUAUCGCAACAUAAUUUCAUCAUUUACUAAGCAACUCAUACAUGUUAUGCCAACAAUACUAAAUAUAUUUUUCAUAGUAGUGGUAUUCAUUAUCUAGCCUUCCCUUACAAAACUCCUUGAAUGUUGUCACCUUGGCAAAGUCUUCUGACUUCACCCCCUUUUACCUCCAUCACAAAAUCAACCACUUCCUGAAAAGAAUUUUCUAAAGCAGCCACCUAUAAUCUUGAAUCUGCAAAUCUGACCUUAAUACCUUCACAAAACGACCAAUUUGCUCAUCUAGACUGAAGCAAAAUGGAGUACCAUAUUUGGAUAAAACACAAUUUUUUGCCUUAUAAAGGCUGCAACAAAUAUAUUAUGUUGUUGUAUAUUCAGGAACUCAUCUCUCCUCAUAUCCCUCAAAGUUCAGGGUAUAUAAUUCUUCAUACAGAAAUCUAUACAAUGUUUCCCAAGUCAUGAGUAGUGCAUUUACUAGUCGGCACUCAACAUGAGACCACCACCACAUUUUGGUGUCUCCCUUUAACUGGUAUAUCAUAAACUCAAUGCCAAAUCGCUCUACCGUAUCCAUCUUAUGGAGCAAACCAUGACAAUCAACAAGAAAAUCAUAAGAAUGUUCAGAUUCAGUACCCUGAAGAAUGAAGGUUUCAACCUUAAGAACAUAAUAAAAACCUCAUGUUUGUUACUAGUCAUUACAUGCCCACAUUGAAUCGGGGAAACAUACUUAUUUGGAAGGACGCAUCCUCUCUUGCUAGUGUUGGUGUUACCACUUCUGUUGCUCUAGUUCUGACCAUAGAGUGAAGGAGGAAAGAUACUAAUUUGUAUCACCUAGAUACCAGUUGAAUUCAAGUAAUAGCACGAAGAAAGAAAGGAAUAAGUUUUCUUAAAGUCCUAUAGUCUUUCGAAGAAAAGUACAGACGUCUCCGUACCACUUUGCAAGACUCUACUAGACUCAUUUUGGUACAAUGAGAUCAACGAACCUAGGGCUCUGAUACCAACUAUGUCACGACCCGAACCGCCGUGAUUGGCACCCACACGAACCCUCCGGUGGGAGAACCAAUAUUGCAACCCAACUAAGCAACUUAACGAAAACUAGAACAUUAAAAGAUACAUAAGCAGGUUUUAAUGAUUACUGAAAUAUGGAGUUCCCAUAAACUCCGAACUAUUGCAAAAAUUCAACCCCUAGAACCUCAAAGUCAUUGUACCAAAACUCUGUAAACCAACAAAUCUAAGGAAAAUGGAUGCGACCCCUAAACUAACAUAAGAAAAGUCUAACUAAACAGUCUGAGUCCAAAAAGAGUGGACUAAACAAGGAAGAAUCUAUGGUAGCUUGGAAGAACUGGCUCACCCUAGAAUUCGGUCUUCGAUCAAUGAUCCCCUAGCUCAGUUCUAUCACUAACCUCCUGAAUAUGUCUUGUACUCAACAAAGAACGAGCAAGUGCGAUAUCAGUACACAACUACCGUGUAUUGGUAAGAUAACGCGGCCACCCCAUUAAGCGAAACAUAGGCAAACAAUUACAACACAGUAAACACACAUAUACAGAAUACAUAGAUCAAUUAUCAUUUCAAGAGUAACAUAAGGUUCCCAAUAUCAACGACAUAUCAACGACAAGUAGAAAUGAAUGUAAUAAUCAUAGUGGUCCUCUCAUGGAACCCACACCCAAACUGUUAGUGUGUUGGAAUGUGACACCUGAUACAAUAUAUGUGUCGGAACGUGACACCCAAUCCAAUGUAUGUAUCGGAACGUGACAUUCGAUUCAAGAUAAGUGUCAAAAUAUGACACCCGAUCCAGUCAACAAAAUCACACCCAUAAUAAACAACGCUCAUAGUCAUACAAUCAAGUAUUGGUUUCAUGGCAUGUAAUUGUUCAUAUAUACUUAUUUGCAUUAGAUUUGAUUCACGUUCCUUUAUUCGCAUACACGCAUGCAUACAAUGAAGCAAUUAACCGACAUAUAUCACACUUACAGAAAAUCAACCAAUCACCUACCUCGAAACUAAGCUUGAAUCCUCCUAAAACACUUAAGCCUUCCCUUUCUAGAUUAUUUCCGCUUGUUCUUGGUCUAAAAAUAGUUAAGUAAUGCAAGGAUCAAUAAACAAGGCCUAAUUUACCUAGAUAAUAAUCCAACUAUCAAUCUUAGGCCAAACCCAAGAUCUCAAUACUCAAUUAGGGACUUUUCCACCAUCAACUUCAGGCCAAAACUCUCCCCCAAUGAUAAUUACUCAAGAUUCUAAGUUCUAAGAAUCGAAAUUAUCUUACCUUUAGCGCUAGAAAUCAUGGAAAACUGUUAAGAACUACUCUGGUUCGCCUCCUAGCUCUCAAGAACGAAGUUUUGUAGAAAAUAACGAUUUUGGGAUUUUUCUCUGACUUAACUCGCGACUGUCCCGCCACAGCAGGACCCAACCCGCCAUAGCGGCCCCGCCCUGGCGGAACUAACCCCGAUCUGGCGGUUUGCACGGAGACAAAAACAUGGAAUUUGAGUUCUAAGAUCCCAUUUCACAACACACCUUCUAACCUGGACGUUCAAACACUACCAUUCCAUGCCAAGAUCAGUUUCGGGAGUUCUACUCGCCCGAAUUCGAUUUCGUAAAGUUGUACAGGCUCCUUAACGUCUUGGCUAUCCACUCAUGUGAUCAAAUUCAUAAUCAAACCCUCCCGUCUAUUAACAGAUUUCUCUAGACCUCACCUGACUCAGAUUUCGUCCAAGUCUGGCCUAGGUUACAAAUUUUCAAGUCACUACUCAAAGUUUUCUGGCCCAAAGUCUUUCCCCAUUGGGUUUUCCAUUACGACGGGAACAAGGCGUUACAUAUAUAGUAUUAGCACUGGCAUGGACAAGGUCCCCUCUCCAAUUCUAAUACAAAACAUGUCUAUAAUUAAUCUCAACAUAAAAUUUGUGAAAGAGAUAUAAUGUUUGGUUGGCCAUAUGAGAAAAAAUAAUUCAUGCAUUACUAAUAGAGGAGUUCCUGGUGUCAUAUUAAGUUAAAAUGUAGUGUAAAAUGUACUCGUAUAACAAUUUCAUUAUUAAACACCAGCAUAACAACUCUAAUAUUAGUAAUUCUGUAAUAUUUUUUAAUAUUAUUCACAACAUAUAUAAGCUAAUAUACUCACUGCAUAGUUAUUUUUAUGAGAUAAUCGGCCCCUAAUAAUAGAUCAGCAAGUUCUUAUAGAUCAAAAUAUGAACAUAAUUCUGAUGAUUUCUUGAUCUUUACUUAAGGAUCCAAUAGAAAAUAUGCAAACGGUUUUCUUCUCAGUUAAUUGCACAGAUUUAUCUUCAAAAGGAUUGUUCUUUAAUUUUUUUUCUUUUAUGAGUUGAGUAUUAAUUUUUACCCCUAUCUCUAAAGUGGCUUAUGCACUUCACUUGUUACCACAAAACGACGAAGCCAGGAGCGGAAGGAGGGACUUGAACCCUCAACCUCUUAAAAAAAGAACUUACGCCUAGCGUGACUUAAGUUCUUUAAAAACGCGAGACAUAAUUUAUGAGAUAUUAUAAUCCCACUAAAAAAUUAUUUGUUUGGAAAAAGAGCAAAUUACCCUUUUCUGUGAGGACCCAAUUCUCAUUUUCUAGGUAGUUACUUCAUACAAGUUGGAAACUUAAUUAGCCAACUUACGUAACACUUAAGCUUUAUUCGUUUGCACAAAAUGAAGGUUUGAUAUGGAAUAAUUUAGAUAUUAGAUUAUUAGUGCAUUUGUACUCAUUAAGAUUUAAGUACUUCCGAAUAGGUUUUAAUCAUAAAGAUCUAGAACAAAAUUUUAAUAUCAUUAAAAUAUAUUUUUAUAUGAAUAAUAUCCAUCAUCACUCUAUCCACAAUCACCGGUCACCACCACUAGGCACCUUUGCCGCCGCAACCACCACCAUCAUGACUUGAUUUCGACUUAUAAUGUCACGCCCCGAGCCUACACCCUGGGCGGGACCGGCACCCGAAGGCCAUUUCUGGCCCCAAGCGAACCAUUGGCCUGGCUUUCUUAACUCAGCGGAAACCUCAACAGAAUAACUCAAUGCAAUGCAAUAUUACAAAAUAACUUAACUUAUAAAAUAUGGCCAUAAAGGCAACUCGAAUCUCAAAAUAGAAUAUUUACAUAUAUAUAUAGAUGAGAGACUCAAAACUAACUGACUGACUGUCUGUCUAUGAAGCCUCUAAAAUACGGAGAUGGAUGUUGGGACAGACCCCGCAACAUCCUAAUAAAACAAAAACUAAGAACACAAAAUAAUUGAGUCCUCCGGAAUGCAAGGAGGCUCACCACUGACUCGGGAGUGCUCAACUGGAUCAACGAUGAGCAGGAUGCUGAUCCGGGGUACCUGUAUCUGCAUCGUCAAACGAUGCAGGCCAACUGGCAUCAGUACAUGGAAUGUACGAGUAUGCAAGAUGGAAAACUAAGCAACAAUAGGCUAGAAGGAAAUUUGGAAGAAACUGAAAAGUUUACCUUGCUCAACUCAACUCAACCUGACUGACUUCUUUCAAUAUAAGGCAAUUUAAAACAAGUGCGAUAUAAAGAAAGACUGUUUAAAACAUGCUAUAAACUCUAUGUGUAUANNNNNNNNNNNNNNNNNNNNNNNNNNNNNNNNNNNNNNNNNNNNNNNNNNNNNNNNNNNNNNNNNNNNNNNNNNNNNNNNNNNNNNNNNNNNNNNNNNNNNNNNNNNNNNNNNNNNNNNNNNNNNNNNNNNNNNNNNNNNNNNNNNNNNNNNNNNNNNNNNNNNNNNNNNNNNNNNNNNNNNNNNNNNNNNNNNNNNNNNNNNNNNNNNNNNNNNNNNNNNNNNNNNNNNNNNNNNNNNNNNNNNNNNNNNNNNNNNNNNNNNNNNNNNNNNNNNNNNNNNNNNNNNNNNNNNNNNNNNNNNNNNNNNNNNNNNNNNNNNNNNNNNNNNNNNNNNNNNNNNNNNNNNNNNNNNNNNNNNNNNNNNNNNNNNNNNNNNNNNNNNNNNNNNNNNNNNNNNNNNNNNNNNNNNNNNNNNNNNNNNNNNNNNNNNNNNNNNNNNNNNNNNNNNNNNNNNNNNUCUGCAUCGCCAUAAGAUGCAGGCCAACUGGCAUCAGUACAUGGAAUGUACGAGUAUGCGAGCUGGAACUAAGCAACAAGGCUAGCAAGAGAUCUGGAGAAACUGAAUAGCUUACCUGGCUCAACUCAACUCAACCUGACUGACUUCUUUCAAUAUAAGGCAAUUUAAAACAAAUGCGAUAUAAGGAAAACUGUUUAAAACUUGCUAUAAACUCUGUGUGUAUGCAAAGAUAUAAUAAGCCUGAGAUGUAUAUAGAAAUACAAAUGAACUGAUGUAUAUAAAAUACAAUACUUUCUGUGUAUGAAAAUACAAUAACUGCUGUGGGAGUUUCUCUAACCGACAACCAUCACAUAAGAGCUAUAGUGAUGAUACAGCGAUCAAUCUCACGCUGCCAGAGCAUCCUAUUCCCGGCCAAAGGUAUAGGACUUGAACUGCCUAAUGGAUCCACUAGUCUAAUCUGAAAAGGAUUCAUCUAAAAAGUAUGAUCCUUUUCUACCCAUGAUGGCUAACAUGGUUCUAUGGGGCUGUGGGUUCUUUGAACGCUCCCCCAAUUCGGUGCUCGAUACUACUCCCAAAAAUGUACUGGCUCUUAUGUUUUUAAAACAUAUUUCUUCCUGCUGAUAUGAGAUAAUUACUCAAAAAUUUGCCCGAAGGCUCUUAUGGAAAUCUCAGUUUCCAACCCUGUUUAAAUGUAAAAACAUUUCCUUAGAAACUUCUUUGGGAAUACAUAGUUCCCUAAUAACUUUGAGAAAUGAACUCAACUUAAACUCUUUACUUGACUUACAACUUGAGCCUUAGAAUGAAGUAAAAACGUUCAAUAAAGACUCUCGAACAACUUUGAAAACCUGCUUGGACUAACUUCUUAACCUUGCUUGACUUGACUCUAACUUCUCUUUAACUUGAUUCUAGCUCGCCUUGAAUUGAAUUAUGGAUUCAAGGGAUAUAAUCACCUGAUAUGAAUGAGUUCUAGGCAAUUAAAUGCAACUAGAAGUGUUGGAACCAAAUUGGGAACAUAGGUGCAAUAAGAAAUGCGGAAACUUGGCAUUGACGGAAGUGAUCUACGAACCGUAGGUCCAUUCACGGUCCGUAGGUGACGACCGUAGAUCAGCAGGCAAGGCAUUUGAGGACAAUUCAGGAAAAAUGGCCAAGUGUGGAACCACGGUGACCAUCGACGGUCCGUAGAUCGAUCUACGGACCGUACUGUUGAUCCGUAGAAUGCUACUGUGAGGGUUCUAGUACCUGAAUUUUUUGAGUAUUCUAAGUGUGGAACUACGGAGGGGAUCGACGGUCCGUAGAUCGAUCUACGGACCGUACCUCUAGUCCGUCAGCCGCUUCUGAGAAACUGACUAUUUUUGGGGUCCUUCUUUUCUCCAACAUCUAAACCUUCCCAAAACAAGGUUUCAACCCAUACACUUGGAAGCACAAAAAUUCCUCAACAACCCAUAGAUUACAACUAUCAACUUCAACAACUAACAACCUUGACAACAAUUCCAACAACUUCAACAACGAAAUUUAAUCCUUUCUCAAUAAAUAAAAGGGCUAGGUGUGUGGGGGAAAGGAUCACCCAACACUAAAAGCUCACAUACCUUGGUAGGGAUCACCCCCGACGAAAAUCCACGAUGAUCUUGUCGGAAACUUGUUGAUCUCCUCUCCUCUUCUUCUUUUCUUCUCUUCUCCUUCUCUUCUUCUUCUCAAGCCCUAGCCUUCACUCUCUUAGAAUGGAACAAAAUGAUCCAAAAAUCAGCCUAACACAACAAAACAUCCUCCAAAGACAUAGCUAGGGAAAAGACCAAAAUGCCCUUAAUGAUUUCCGGACGGAUUUCCUUGUCAACUGCCCAACUUUCAAAGGCCAUAACUCGCUCAUACGAACUCGGAAUUGAGCAAACGCAUCGGCGUUGGAAAGAUCAUUCCACAAGCUUCACAACCAUAACUGGAACUACUCCUAACUCAUCCUGAGAUAAAAGUUAUGACUGCUCAAAGUUGGCCAAAAAUCACUGAUUUCAUACUUAGCCAAAUUUUCCAGAUUUUCAAACCCUUUUCAAAAAUGAAAAAUUUUAAAUUCUAAACCUCUUCUUAGCUAUUUCAAAUUGCCGGAUAUUACACACUAAACCUUCGCAAGGCAAGACACAACUCUAUCCCUACUAGCUUUCUACCAUAAUACACGAUCUCCACUCUUUCCUAUUUAAAGUCAUGUCCUCGGUAAUAUGGAGCUCUGUCAUGUCCUAUCUAAUUACUUCUCCCCAAUACUUUUUUGGUCUACCCCUACCUCUCCAUGUCAUCCAACCUAUCGCACCUCCUCUCUAACGUGUCUCCUCAACACAUGCUUAAACCAUCUCAAUAUCGCUUCCCUCAUCUUGUUCGCCAUAGGGGUCACUCUCACCAUCUUCUGAAUGACCUCAUUCUUAAUCUUGUCACUCCUUGUAUGUCCACACAUUAUACCUCAACAUGCAUUUUCUGAACAUAUCAAUUCUUGAGUGGCCAACACUCCACCCCAUACAACAAGGAUAGUCUAACCACCACUCUGUAGAACUUACUUUUAAGUGUAGGUGGUACCUUCUUAUCACACAAGACUCUGAAGGCAAGCCUUCAUUUCAUCCUAGACAUGAUACCACUCGAACCAAAUAGAGAUAUUAGUACAAAAACUAAAUAAUUAUAAACUAAGAAUAUAACUAGCCAAAUACAAAUAUUAACUUGUAAUAUCUAUAUACUUUGGUUUAAGUAGAUUUUGAGUUAGAAUUCCUUUUGUAAUUUACUUAAUUCUAGUAUUCUACUUUAUUUUUGUUUUUAAUUAUUUUUUAUUUGGCCUACGAGCUGGUCCAGCCCACAUUGCUCAAGCCCCAUAUAAAGUUGGCAAUUCAGCCUUAGGAAUAACAAAAAUCUAGAGUUUUGGCAACGUUAAAAGUUCAGACUUUGGAAAUGGUGGAAACUCCGGCUUUGGGAAUUCUGGUAAUUUAGGCUUUGACAGAGUUGACAGCUUAGGUUUCGGAAUUUCAAGGAAUUCAAGCUUUGGUAAAUUUGGGAUUUCAGGUAAAUGCGACCUACCCAAUAUUUAAGUUAUUGGAACUGUUUUUGUAGAAUAAAUAUUUCUAGUGGCAACCAUUAUCGCCACAAUAAGAGUUUCUAGUGGCGUCCUUAAGAAGUCGUCAUAAAUAACAUUUAGUUUUGGAACUACUUGCCAGUUUCAAGAGCGCUCAGUUUGCUGCUAAAAUGAUUUUGUUUCGACUUUUUGGGCUUCAGUAGCGAUAAGUCGCCACUGAAAGCUCAAUUUCUAAUUGUUGCAUCAAUCAUGAAUGAGUUUCUAAAUUCUAUAGUCAAAGAAUUAGAUGAUAGCUCACACAAUAGGCAAUCCCUCUUCUAUUGCUCUUGAUAGAAAUUAGCAUUGGCAUGGACAGGGUCCCCUCUCUAAUUCUAAUACAAAACAUGUUUAUAAUUAAUCUCAACAUAAAAUUUGCAAAAGAGAUAUAGUGUUUGGUUGGGGGGGGAGGUGUAGGCAUCAUUUCCUUUAUAAAUAACUAGUCACGCGUAGGGUGCUAAAAUUUAUCAUUAAAUCUAUUUACAAUUUUUUUUAGUUUAAUUAAAAGUAUUUUCACAUAAAAAGGACAAAUGACGAAAAUAAAUAAAGGGAUAAUUCAAAGUUAUGUUCUAGGAAGGACAUUUUCCGGAGUGCAAAAGGAUAGAAAUUUACCUGUUAAGUCCUGGAAAUUUACCCAUGGUAAAUCCGUAUUAUAUUUGGUUUCAAUAUUUAUUUUUGUAGGUUCAUUUUUCUUGUUCAAAUUGUAAGUAAGCUAUAGGAGAUCAAUUCCUCGAAAAAAUUUUAGACAUCUAGCUCAAACUUAAUCCAUUCAUUAAUUUGAUCCAACAUUUUCAUUAACUCAAACCGUUUUUAACCCAUUCAGAUUCAAUUCAUUUCGCUCGAUCAUUUAAAAAGCAAAAUUAGUAGUAUGCAAUAUUUACUAUAUUUGUUUGCAGGUGGAAAAGAGAUUGUUGUAAAGGAAGUAAUUGAAGAAAUAGAUGAUGAAAAGAAGUUGAUUAAAAAAAAGGUAAUUGAAGGUGAUUUGUUGGAUUAUUAUAAAUCAUUUUACGUCACUAUUCAGAUUGAGAUAAAGGGUGAAAACAACUUAGUUACUUGGAUCAUGGAAUAUGAAAAGAAGAAUGCAAAUGUGCCUGAUCCACACACAUAUAUGGAAUUAUGCCUCAGUGUCACUAAAGAUAUUGGACUCACA
rnacentral:lncRNA from 1 species